UUUAACAUAGGUCCCUACGUAGUACAAUUUAUCGUUUAUACCCUUUGGGUCUGAUCCCAACAUGUGUUCCUAAUAGAUAGUGAAGAACAGGAAGAAAUAAAUGAUGGAAGGAAAAAGGAAAUAUAACACACCUGACGUUUAAUUCAGUAGGCAGAAGUACACUAUAGACAUUUGAGUUAUGUAAAUACAUGUUCAAUUACUGUAAAUUUAACUAUCUAAAAAUGUAGUAUCCUCGGCUACAGUAUAUAGUAUGCAUGCAGCAAUAUGCCAACAACAAUGAAAGCUCAGAUUUGUGCAGAAGCGGAACAAAAAACGGGUCGGUGUCUUUAGUUCGAAGAACGUUAGUGGACCGGAAGCGGUUGCAAAUUCAAAAAAGGCUGCAAAGAUUUCGCUAUUAUUCUCAGACGGGGUGGCUAGCGAGCUACCUACAACGAAAGAACCAGCUCUAGAUCUUCGUGUGGUGAAUGUGUUUUCCCAAGCGGUGAGCCCCUGAAGAUCCCACGCCCCUCUGAGAAAGGCACCAAACCGGGGAGAGUUCCGGUGGAGGGAAGGGAGACCAAACUGGAAGUGGAAACAGAGGCAACCAUGUCUGAAGAGUUGCAGGUGGAUGUGCCGGGCACGGAAGAGAAGUCAGGUGGAAACCUGCCUAAUUGUAACUCCUUAACCCCCAAGAGGGGGAGGGGCAGGCCAGCUAAGAAAGGAUCGGUCUCCAAGUCAGAUGAAAUAUUGUCUAAUAGCCCUUCAACACCUAAGAGAAGGGGUAGACCGCCCAAAGAAAGAUCAGUCUCCAAGUCAGAUGACAUAUUGUCUAAUAGCCCUUCAACACCUAAGAGAAGGGGUAGACCGCCCAAAGAAAGAUCAGUCUCCAAGUCCGAUGAAAUAUUGUCUAAUAGCCCUUCAACACCUAAGAGAAGGGGUAGACCGCCCAAAGAAAGAUCAGUCUCCAAGUCCGAUGAAAUAUUGUCUAAUAGCUCCUCAACACAGAAGAGGGGAAGGGGUAGACCGCCCAAAGAAAGAUCGCUCUCCAAAUCAGAUGAAAUAUUGUCUAAUAGCUCCUCAACACAGAAGAGGGGAAGGGGUAGACCGCCCAAAGAAAGAUCGCUCUCCAAGUCAGAUGAAAUAUUGUCUAAUAGCUCCU